GGGUGCAUGGUCUAGUGGUAUGAUUUUCGCUUCGCAUUUGUCAAUUCACAAAAAAAACCUCAAGUGAGGCAAAGGUGAUGAUGAUAUAUUGAGCGCUUGUGAAAGGUCCCCGGUUCGAUCCCGGGUGCAUCCA